GCAGCUAUGGCGGAAUUGGCAGACGCGUAUGAUUCAGGUUCAUAUUCGCAAUCGCGAGUUCGGGUUCGACUCCCGUUAGCUGCA
rnacentral:tRNA from 1 species